ensembl:snRNA U1 U1 spliceosomal RNA
AUACUUACCUGGUAAGGAUACUUCCAUGAUCACGAAACCAUGAUCCAUAGUUUUCUUAGGGCAAGGCUUAUCCAUUGCAUUCAGGAUGGGCUGACCCCUGUGAUUUCCCCAAAUGUGGGGAAACUCCACUUCAUCAUUUGUGAUAGUGGGGAACUGUCUUAGUGCUCUCCCCUG